CUUUGGAGUCAGCCAAUCCUCCAUGAAGCAUCUCCAGUUGGUCCAGAAUGCUGCACAUGACUCCUGCCUACUCCGGCACUUGAUUUUGCUGAACACUGGCACUCAUAUAAUAGUUCUGUAUGUAAAAAUAUUACCAACACAAACUCUCAGGGAGCGCUCCGCCGCAUUACGAUUGCGCACUGUUCAUGUCGCCGUAGCGGGGCAAACAAUAAUUCUGUACGCCUAGAAAAGCAGCUCUGCGUCGCGGUGCAAGUGGCCGUUUCAAGAGCAGCAAUUUGGGAUAUGCGGCCGCGGGACCUGCCCUAGAGGUAAGCCUGGCAAAAUGUCAAAGUUGGACUUUGAAAAAUCGGGCAGAAAAUGAAUGGAUGGACAGACUUUGGACAACACUGUGCGCCUGACUUCCAGAAAUGAUUGCCGACCCUCCAGACGAGCGUGUCACCUCAUUUCUGGAUAAGCGGUGGAGGGCGUACCGCCUGUGGUGUGCUUGGAAAAAAAGCUGGCAUCAUUGGAGGAAGAAGUCAAAAAAACUUUGUAGGCAGGAAGUUGCAUUCAAACAAACCAACCCAUGCUGACCUACAGAACCACCUUGGCAGAGCCCGCCUGCCCCCAAAAACCACUCCACGAUCAACAGUCACACUUACCUGCAACGACAGAGACUUAGUCCCGAGCGCCUCCGAGUCCUCGGCAGUUGGAAGGGAGAGCAGCGAGCCUGCAAAGCUGCCGAUGGGGCGAGCCAAAGUGGAGGACGGAGAGCGGGAGAAAGAGACCGUGAGACCGCUGAAGAGAGGUAGAACGAGAAAGUGGAUGCUGUGCGCUCUCGGAGGAGGAAGAGGAGGAGGAGGCUGGCUGGAGGUGAGAUGAAGGGGAAAAAAAGAGGAGAGGGAGGGAGAGAUAAAGGGGGAUGGAAGGAGUGGAGGGAGGGAGCGCUGGGUUGGGAUAGGAGGACAUUGUGUGAUGUUGAACAGGAGGAGGAGAGAGGUGGAUGAAGGAAGAGAGGAGAAGAAAUGGUGAAAGGCAGGAAAGGGAUGAGCGCGAAAGACGAGAGAGAGGAAGAGAAAGAAAAGGUAAAAAAAAAGGCAUAAAAAUGGUUUGUUAAAAAGGUUUAACAAGUGGAACCCUCCUGGCCAAAAAUAUAAAUGAAACUCAUCAGACGUAUCCCGUCUCUGGAGACGAAGCUGUCCAUUCAAUCACACUGUAAUCCAAUAAUGUGUUUCAAUGUAUCCACAUUGGAGCAAUAACUCACAGCGCCGAGGGAGCAAAAAA